GGGCCGUUAGUACAGUGGUAAUACGCCGCAUUCGCAUUGCGGAGGCGGGAGUUCGAUUCUCCCACGGUCCA
rfam:Microgenomates (Gottesmanbacteria) bacterium GW2011_GWA2_42_18 TV09_C0039, whole genome shotgun sequence.